rnacentral:tRNA from 1 species
GGUGCGUUCGUCUAGUCCGGCUCAAGGCACCAGGUUGUCAACCUGGGUAUCACGGGUUCGAAUCCCGUACGCACCG